GGCCACUCGGCGAAGUGCGCAGUGAGAUCAGUGGGCCUGACACUGAAUACCAGGGGUGUGGUUCUCUGUUCACUUACUCCGAUGCACCCACUGCAGUCCAUGGCGUUGUCCUCAUCUAGUCUUAGAUCGAUCAGAUGGCCUGCCACCACACAGCAUAGAGGUCUGUCCUCUUCACGGGGGCAGCUUGGCUUCACUCCCACUGACUGCAAUGGGAGAGAGAGUGAUCACCUUAACUUAAGGCAACGUCUGGUCUCCCUCCACCGAGAGCAAGGUUUGCAGACCACAUAGGUGUAUCCAUCAGCUACACCUGGUCACCUCACAUCAAUUCAUCUUGCUAACCG